rnacentral:lncRNA from 1 species
GGUCCUGACUUCCGUUCCGGGAGAGGUUCCACACGCGCAGAGGAAAUUGGGGUCUGGAGCUACACAGAACUCAAAAAAGCCAACGGAACCCCGCUCCCGUUGCCCAGGCAACGCCAGGCCCACCGGAAGUGCUCCUGCUUACCUUAGAAACCGCGGCGAAGCCGGGGUACGGACGCAGACCGCUCCACCAGCUACGGAGAAAGCGGCUGCGGUGCGGCGAGCCUACGCCUCUGGCACGCGCAUGCGCAACUCCCAGGCCUCCACAGCUACGCCAUAACGCGAUGAGCAUAGCUGCUGACCCAUGCUCCAAAUAGCCAACGGGAAGUCUUUCCUCACCGUGUCCUUUCUUCCUCCGACUUCCUGCCCCCUCCACCAGACUGGCUUACCUGAUCCCCACCUUGCCCUGCCCUCCAGCUGCCAGGACCCAGGCGGUCCAUUCUCCCAGACAGCCUGUCCCCCGCCUUUCCUCUUAUCCACUAUGAAGGCAUUUCUGUCUUGUCCCAAGACUGUUACUGGAACUGUUAGGGUCAGAGUAAAAGUACGAAUUAGGAUUAUGGGAAGAAAUAAAAAGAGAGAGAGAGAGAGAAUUUAGACGUCCUCAAACAGCGAGGAGCAAGCUUUACUCAAAGAAGUGGGUUUUCUAGUUCUAGCUCUGCAUGUCGCGAUCCAAGCACGGGACUUUGUCACAUAAAGACCAGAGGUCAGGAAAAGGCACAUUUCAUGCUUUAAGCUGGAGUUUUUGUAGCUAAGGAUGUGGAAGGGAGAAAGGGACAGAAUGAGAAAGCUGGGUUCUGACACUACAGCGCCUGUUGUACGUUUUUGCAACCACUGCCACUGGGAUAGAUAUCUGAUGUGUUAGAAUGUCAGGUCGCGUCUUAACAGCAUACUAGGCCAAAACAGUUCCACGUGGAAGAGGUUUUAUUGAGAGAGAGGGACGAGGUGGCGGCGGAAAGAGAAAAGAGGGAGUGACAGAGGGGGCGUUCUCCUUAUUUAUAUGGAAAAUGACGUAAUGAAGGUAAAGGUGGGAGGUGAGCCAAGUGGAUGCUGGGAAUAUGCUGCAGGUCGCGCUGUCGCCUAUGUGAUGUCAUAGGUUUGGGAGGUCCUGAUGCUAACAAUAUCAGCUACUUUUUAUUUCUG